AUUGAACGCUGGCGGCAGGCCUAACACAUGCAAGUCGAACGAGUGGCGGACGGGUGAGUAAUGUCUGUGAAACUGCCCGAGGGGGGGGGAUAACUACUGGAAACGGUAACUCAUACCGCAUCCCAUCGGAUGUAGGCCGAGGGGAUUAGCUAGUAGGUGGGGUAACGGCUCACCUAGGCGACGAUCCCUAGCUGGUCUGAGAGGAUGACCAGCCACACUGGAACUGAGACACGGUCCAGACUCCUACGGGAGGCAGCAGUGGGGAAUAUUGCACAAUGGGCGAAAGCCUGAUGCAGCCAUGCCGCGUGUAUGAAGAAGGCCUUCGGGUUGUAAAGCACUUUAAGCGAGGAGGCGUUACUCGCAGAAGAAGCACCGGCUAACUCCGUGCCAGCAGCCGCGGUAAUAC
rnacentral:rRNA from 1 species